rnacentral:rRNA from 1 species
GAUGAACGCUGGCGGCGUGCCUAAUACAUGCAAGUCGAGCGAACAGAUGAGGAGCUUGCUCCUCUGACGUUAGCGGCGGACGGGUGAGUAACACGUGGAUAACCUACCUAUAAGACUGGGAUAAUUUCGGGAAACCGGAGCUAAUACCGGAUAAUAUAUUGAACCGCAUAGUUCAAUAGUGAAAGACGGCUUUGCUGUCACUUAUAGAUGGAUCCGCGCCGCAUUAGCUAGUUGGUAAGGUAACGGCUUACCAAGGCAACGAUGCGUAGCCGACCUGAGAGGGUGAUCGGCCACACUGGAACUGAGACACGGUCCAGACUCCUACGGGAGGCAGCAGUAGGGAAUCUUCCGCAAUGGGCGAAAGCCUGACGGAGCAACGCCGCGUGAGUGAUGAAGGUCUUCGGAUCGUAAAACUCUGUUAUUAGGGAAGAACAAAUGUGUAAGUAACUAUGCACGUCUUGACGGUACCUAAUCAGAAAGCCACGGCUAACUACGUG